UCAGAGACAUUCACACAUUUCCAGACAGCAAAGACAGAAAAGACAAGCCAAAAUGAAGAUUCAAAUAGUCGUGUUGUCUGUUGUAGUCAUCUUCAGCGCAAUCCUAAUUGCCUGUGAUGCUUUUCCAUUGGAACAAGCCAGUCCUACAGCUCAGUCUUUCAGAAAUCUACAAGAUCAUAUAAUGGGAAUGAAAGAUCAUGCAAGUGAAUUGCUCACCAGCAUCAAAGAGUCUUCUGUGGUUCAACAAAGCCAGUGAGCAGCCACAACAUUGACUUCACUCAGCUCAGUUUACUUUUCAUAUUUAUUGGGUGAAAAUAGCUUACAGAGGCAGUUGGGAAUGGAAAGCUUAAAUUCUACACUCAUACAUUUUUCUCAAUUCAUGCUGACCCAGUAAUCAGUGAGGCAGGUGAGGAGACCCAAAUGGCAGAAAGUGCAGGAGCCUCAUCUUUGCAACUUCCCAGAGGUUUGAGAUCCUUUCAGCUUGUCAGGAUGACAGUUAUGACCACAGGGCUAGUUGACCAUUGCAAGUGAUAAAUGUAGCUACUGAAGUGGGCAGAGCAAAGAGGACAGCAAUGGUUAUAGGGAACAAUAUAUUGAGGGAGAUUGACAUUGUUUUCUGUAGCAAAGAGGGAAAUCCAGAAAAAUAUGUUUCUUGUCUGGUGCAAGGGAUUAUGACAUCUGCUCAGUGCAUGACAGAACCUGUAGUCAAGGGGAGUAAAGCAAAGUUCUCUCUAAGCUGCACGACCACAGAGCUGCUCUGAGGCUCCUUUGAGAUCCCAUAUUAAUGCAUUGACUUCUGGUGUUGGAUGUUGGUGCUGCGUGUGGACCUCAAGGGUCCAGUGAGUAUUGAAGCAGCAAAGAUUCAGUCGUUGUGAUCCAUGAAGCUAUCAAUGCCAUAGAUACAAGGAAAGAGGUACUUCAGAGUCAGUAAGAGAAAUUAGGCACCAAAUUAGGAAGCAGAAGCUCACAGGCAGUUAUUUCUGGAUCAUUACCUGAGCCACGUGCAAAUAGGUACAGGAGAAAUAAGAUUAAAGAAAUGAAUGUGUAGCUCAAGAUUGUUGUGGUAGAAAUGGUUUCCAGUUCAUGGGCACUGGCAUCACUCCCGGGGAAAGUGGGAGCUGCACCAUUAGUUGGGUCUACAUCUGAAAUGUGUUUGGGCCAGCAUUCUAGCAAAACAUGUAAAUAAGCAAGUUGAGAAAGUCGUAAAUUAAAUACUAAGUUAAAGAAUCAAAUUUAGAAAGAUGUGGUAAAUGAAAUAGAGGUGAGGAAAGACAACAAAGUAUUAAUAUGGGAAAUCAUAUAUAUACUGUGACAGGCAGAGAUAACAAGAGAUAAUCUGAGAAUGAUUCAAUGGGUAAAGCUAAAGACUACAAAAAUAAUAAAAAGACAAAAAUAGAGGAUUUGUAUCUAAAUGCACUUAAUAUU